rnacentral:rRNA from 1 species
UUUUUACAAGGGCCCGUCGUACGCUGCUGCCCGGCCGCCUCGGGCUCGCGGGAAUUUGACUGACUGAGUGCUCAGCAGCCGCGGGUGGUGCAGUAGGAUUGGGGUGAAGUCGUAACAAGGUAACCUCAGUCAGUCAAGUCGUAACAAGGUACUCUUAACCAGUCAAGUCGUAACAAGGUAGCCUCCUAAAAA